GGUUAAGCGACUAAGCGUACACGGUGGAUGCCCUGGCAGUCAGAGGCGAUGAAGGACGUGCUAAUCUGCGAAAAGCGUCGGUAAGGUGAUAUGAACCGUUAUAACCGGCGAUGUCCGAAUGGGGAAACCCAGUGCAAUUCGUUGCACUAUCGUUAACUGAAUACAUAGGUUAACGAGGCGAACCGGGGGAACUGAAACAUCUAAGUACCCCGAGGAAAAGAAAUCAACCGAGAUUCCCCCAGUAGCGGCGAGCGAACGGGGAGCAGCCCAGAGUCUGAAUCAGCUUGUGUGUUAGUGGAACGGUCUGGAAAGUCCGACGGUACAGGGUGAUAGUCCCGUACACCAAAAUGCACAGGUUGUGAACUCGAAGAGUAGGGCGGGACACGUGGUAUCCUGUCUGAAUAUGGGGGGACCAUCCUCCAAGGCUAAAUACUCCUGACUGACCGAUAGUGAACCAGUACCGUGAGGGAAAGGCGAAAAGAACCCCGGCGAGGGGAGUGAAAAAGAACCUGAAACCGUGUACGUACAAGCAGUGGGAGCACCUUCGGGUGUGACUGCGUACCUUUUGUAUAAUGGGUCAGCGACUUAUAUUCUGUAGCAAGGUUAACCGUAUAGGGGAGCCGCAGGGAAACCGAGUCUUAACUGGGCGUUAAGUUGCAGGGUAUAGACCCGAAACCCGGUGAUCUAGCCAUGGGCAGGUUGAAGGUUGGGUAACACUAACUGGAGGACCGAACCGACUAAUGUUGAAAAAUUAGCGGAUGACUUGUGGCUGGGGGUGAAAGGCCAAUCAAACCGGGAGAUAGCUGGUUCUCCCCGAAAGCUAUUUAGGUAGCGCCUCGUGAACUCAUCUUCGGGGGUAGAGCACUGUUUCGGCUAGGGGGUCAUCCCGACUUACCAACCCGAUGCAAACUACGAAUACCGAAGAAUGUUAUCACGGGAGACACACGGCGGGUGCUAACGUCCGUCGUGAAGAGGGAAACAACCCAGACCGCCAGCUAAGGUCCCAAAGUCAUGGUUAAGUGGGAAACGAUGUGGGAAGGCACAGACAGCCAGGAUGUUGGCUUAGAAGCAGCCAUCAUUUAAAGAAAGCGUAAUAGCUCACUGGUCGAGUCGGCCUGCGCGGAAGAUGUAACGGGGCUAAACCAUGCACCGAAGCUGCGGCAGCGACACUAUGUGUUGUUGGGUAGGGGAGCGUUCUGUAAGCCUGCGAAGGUGACCUGUGAGGGUUGCUGGAGGUAUCAGAAGUGCGAAUGCUGACAUAAGUAACGAUAAAGCGGGUGAAAAGCCCGCUCGCCGGAAGACCAAGGGUUCCUGUCCAACGUUAAUCGGGGCAGGGUGAGUCGACCCCUAAGGCGAGGCCGAAAGGCGUAGUCGAUGGGAAACAGGUUAAUAUUCCUGUACUUGGUGUUACUGCGAAGGGGGGACGGAGAAGGCUAUGUUAGCCGGGCGACGGUUGUCCCGGUUUAAGCAUGUAGGCUGGUUGUCCAGGCAAAUCCGGAUAAUCAAGGCUGAGGUGUGAUGACGAGGCACUACGGUGCUGAAGUAACAAAUGCCCUGCUUCCAGGAAAAGCCUCUAAGCAUCAGGUAACAUUAAAUCGUACCCCAAACCGACACAGGUGGUCAGGUAGAGAAUACCAAGGCGCUUGAGAGAACUCGGGUGAAGGAACUAGGCAAAAUGGUGCCGUAACUUCGGGAGAAGGCACGCUGGUGUGUAGGUGAAGUCCCUGCGGAUGGAGCUGAGACCAGUCGAAGAUACCAGCUGGCUGCAACUGUUUAUUAAAAACACAGCACUGUGCAAACACGAAAGUGGACGUAUACGGUGUGACGCCUGCCCGGUGCCGGAAGGUUAAUUGAUGGGGUUAUCCGUAAGGAGAAGCUCUUGAUCGAAGCCCCGGUAAACGGCGGCCGUAACUAUAACGGUCCUAAGGUAGCGAAAUUCCUUGUCGGGUAAGUUCCGACCUGCACGAAUGGCGUAAUGAUGGCCAGGCUGUCUCCACCCGAGACUCAGUGAAAUUGAACUCGCUGUGAAGAUGCAGUGUACCCGCGGCAAGACGGAAAGACCCCGUGAACCUUUACUAUAGCUUGACACUGAACAUUGAGCCUUGAUGUGUAGGAUAGGUGGGAGGCUUUGAAGCGUGGACGCCAGUCUGCGUGGAGCCAACCUUGAAAUACCACCCUUUAAUGUUUGAUGUUCUAACGUUGGCCCCUUACCGGGGUUGCGGACAGUGUCUGGUGGGUAGUUUGACUGGGGCGGUCUCCUCCUAAAGCGUAACGGAGGAGCACGAAGGUUAGCUAAUCCUGGUCGGACAUCAGGAGGUUAGUGCAAUGGCAUAAGCUAGCUUGACUGCGAGCGUGACGGCGCGAGCAGGUGCGAAAGCAGGUCAUAGUGAUCCGGUGGUUCUGAAUGGAAGGGCCAUCGCUCAACGGAUAAAAGGUACUCCGGGGAUAACAGGCUGAUACCGCCCAAGAGUUCAUAUCGACGGCGGUGUUUGGCACCUCGAUGUCGGCUCAUCACAUCCUGGGGCUGAAGUAGGUCCCAAGGGUAUGGCUGUUCGCCAUUUAAAGUGGUACGCGAGCUGGGUUUAGAACGUCGUGAGACAGUUCGGUCCCUAUCUGCCGUGGGCGCUGGAGAAUUGAGGGGGGCUGCUCCUAGUACGAGAGGACCGGAGUGGACGCAUCACUGGUGUUCGGGUUGUCAUGCCAAUGGCACUGCCCGGUAGCUAAAUGCGGAAGAGAUAAGUGCUGAAAGCAUCUAAGCACGAAACUUGCCCCGAGAUGAGUUCUCCCUGAGACUUUAAGUCUCCUGAAGGAACGUUGAAGACGACGACGUUGAUAGGCCGGGUGUGUAAGCGCAGCGAUGCGUUGAGCUAACCGGUACUAAUGAACCGUGAGGCUUAACCUU
rnacentral:rRNA from 1 species